AAAGGAAACUCACACCUUUCUUUUCCUUCAUUUGUUCUCUCUUUUCCUACAAAAAUGUUCUCUUUCAAUCUCAUUCUUUCAUUCCCGUAACUGAACCCACUUUGAAGAACACCAACACAAAUCACUGUUCACUAUCUUCUCCAACCUUCUAGUUUUCCUUUUUUUUCUUCCAAAAUCUCCAAAAAACAAUAGUUUAAUGAAGCUCCUCAGAUCUAUCUCGAUCCAUUGCAUGCACGAUUCCACCCUCAAUCUUCAAGAAUCAACCAAGAAUGAUACCAUCGAGAAAGAAAGAACAAGAGUUGGAAUAGAGCACUGGGAUUGAGGAAAACUAAGGACUGUCAUAUCACAUAUCUCCCCAAAUCAGUUCGAAAACAAAAUGAUAAUUCUUUUAAAAUUCAGGUAGAAGUGGCUAAUGCUUAGUUCCAAUACUAGAGGAUAGCCUUAUCAGGCUUGUUUUGGAUUAGUUUUUGUUUCAAUUAUGUGAAUUAAUGUACCAGGGAAACAUUUUCAUGGACUUUUGUUAUUGAAGUUGAAAUUUUAUUUUUUAAUAAUCCAUUAAACAAGAGUUGUAAACUAUAUAUUAAAUGUAAUUAUAAAUUAUGUUAAUGAUGA